AAUUGUAUCACUGAUCGCGAACAUAUUUUUGAAAUGUACAAUCAAUGUAGUUGAGUUUACCGGACAUCUGAUUGAAUAACAACGUGUAUCGCCCUACCUCCCCUAUUUAUCAACUUUUCAAGGUCCUCACGUAUUUCUUGCAUUGUGUAACGUGUGUUCUUUGGCGGACGGUAUACACGGCCAGUGGCAGGCUGCACCUUUUGAAAGUUUUCGAGGCUUUCCUUGUGUCCCAUGGCCACCGACUGGCCUACCAUUCUACUCGCCUCUGCAUUGCGUGAAAUGUAGUAAAACGUUCAAUAUAGACUGGAACUAGCAAUGAAGUAGAGACGACGAUCGGACCAGCUACUACUGUGUGUGCAGCGAACUAGUCUGCAAAAUGCUUUCUGCAGUGCUUGGAUAUAUGCUUAUAAUAAGUUGGGACCUACCGCUUAUCUUUGCUAGCGUUCGUAGUGUUCGUCUGCUGUGAAGUACUUUUAUGAAACCGUCCUUUUUGUUCGUUAUUUUUUUUUAAGGAUGUGCGUGGAAAAGUUGUUGCCGCUGAGGAGGGGGUUAUCCGUGCCACCAACCCAAAGCAACUGUUUAGCAGUAUGAUAAUGCCGGCACCACAUUAUGGAAAUCGGUACAAAGAUCCUACACACCAACGGAAAACACAGCGCUUAGAGUUGACAAGCCAGGCGAACCCUUGUCGUUGAAUCGUUUGUAGAUUCUGUUUCGCCAUAGGAUGACCUUAAAGCAUAGAUGUGUGCUAUCGGCCAUACGACUUAGCAAUAUAUGCCCGCCCAAAGCCGUUUUCACCACCCCCAACUCGAAUUGGUAAACGCUUUGAACCGAUUUUGACUAACCGAAGCCAUGAUGUAUCACGCAUUCAAUGAGGUUUCGGAUAUUUCUUGGAAUCAGAAUUGCCGCGCGCUGUUCGUACCUAUCUGCUAAAAGUUGCUCGGACAGAUUCAACCAAAAGAUCGUGCUAUUCUUACGAGUUAUUAUCACUCCUUUUCAGAUCGCUGAUAUGCCACUAGGCUGCCAUUAAUUUCUGAUACAACUGCUUCGCAAUGACCAUUCACAAAGCAUAAAACCAAAUCAUAGAGAAGUUUUCAUUUCUUCCCAAGAACCUGUGUUCAAUUAGAGCCAAUUCUACGUUGCCCUCAGCCGUACUCUUCAAAGACAAUACUAUUAUAAGAAAUAUUGUACUUAGCGACCUCUUUGACUAAACGGCUCUAUCGAUAUCAAUAUUCGACAGUCGUUGCUGCAACAACCGACGAAACGACAUUUACAAAUAAUUCUGACGAGUCCGACUUCAGCACUCGGUAACA